ncrna:unclassified sequences S16-Flavobacteria ribosomal protein leader
AUUAAUAAUAGAGGUCGAGAACCUUAUAAAUUAAU